rnacentral:piRNA from 1 species
CAGUGAUGGAUAACAGGUCGG